CAGAGCGCCAGCCUAGCUCGGGCCCUGCUCCGGCUCUGCUCCCGCGCAGCUACAGCUCUGCUCCCAUCCAGCUCUCUUUCCCUAAUUGGCUUCGCCCUGGUGUGCUCACUUGGAAGCGCCCGAGCCUUGGAGGCGUCCACGGCUCUCGGGACGCGGCGUCGCCACUCCAACUAUUUUGAGCCUGUCCUGUCCGAAGCCUGUAAGUUUGAGGACUCCCUUCCGGGGUAUAAAGGGAGUCCUGAAGGAGAGCGAAGGUCCUUGAAAGGGAAGCGGGGACUGUGUCUGCCCCCAGGUCCUGCCCCUAUGCGCUGAGCUUCCACCAGCUGGAACCAGUGGGCACCCCAGUCCCUCCAGAAGACCUCCCUUGGUAGGUGGCAGACUGAGAAUUAAGUUUCUCUGAUCCCCCACUCCUGGCAGGAGAAAUCUCUUUCCUACGGCCAACGCAGGAAACUGUGAUCUCCUUCUUACAGCUGUCCCUCCCUACACGUUUGGAGCAAGAAUCACAGAAGCCGAGACCUUACCAGGGUUGAUUCUGACCCUACAGGAGAGGAGAAACUGAGAGCAAACAUGAAGAGCAAAGAAGGGAAAGUAGGGAGAAGUUCAUUCUGACUUGGAUGAGAAAGUAAUUACUGUCCUCACUGUAAGAGUGAAUUUUAAGGAAGUCUCUGGAGCUGGUGGCAGGAUCCAGGUCAUGGAAAGGAAUUGAAAUACUCCAGGCACUUCUUUUUAGAAAGCUUUUUUGGGUUUGUUUUUGGUUUUGCUUGGGGCCUACAUGAGAUGGGGAGCAUUGAUGAGAAGCAGCUAAGUGUACUGAAGGAUCUUUGACUCUUUCCUUCCUUGGUUUUUGGACCUGAUCAUGUUGACCUGGGAUCCACUGGCUUUAUUCAACCAGCUUUCUCUUUUUAGACUGGCAGUGAUACAGGCCAGAAACCUGCUCAUACCCGGUGGUAUGGCUGAGCUGCCCCUUGACCCUUCCGUCCAGACCUGGCAGGAUGCACAGUUAAAAAAAAUUGACCACUUCUUCCUUGGGGACACAGAUGCAGACCUUCUUAGAAUACACUCACCACCUUAACCACUGUGCAAGCAAAGCAGGAUAUUGGUUUCUUCAACCCCGAUGUGUUUUGCCAAAUCAGAGUGUUAAUACCCCUUCCUCCCGCACUCUGUAUGAAUUGGAUUACUUAAAGCAUCUUUUCAGAGACGUCAGCAGUUUAAUAGAAGCAAUAAGUCAGGGCUGCCCUUGUGUUUUAUUUUUCUGCCAGUAUUUAGUUAAUUAAAGAAUGCAAAUUAAAACACCUUAAUUUAUAUAAUAUCAAUACCAACGCCUUAAAACAUUUGGCAUAACUGCUCUGGCACGUCCCUUACAUAAACUCUUCAGAGCAGUGCUAAUAAAGAUGAAAAAAGGUUGUAAAUCAAAUUUAAUUUAUUCAUCUUCUGUUUGGUACUAAAGCAUAUGCCAAACUCGUUAUUUAUGAGCACGUCAUAAUAAUAGGCAUUUUUGUUGGUUGCAAAUGACCAAAAAGGUUUCUCCUAGGGAUGUGUGUUUUAAUUGUCUCUAGGUGCAGCUGUUUUCUGGGCUCUGAUCUCUAAGAUUUAUGAUCUUACACCCCUAUCUUCAGAAAACUAAAAUAGAUUUAGAUAUUGAAAAGCAUAACGAGCCUAAAAACAUGGCAACAUCCGCUCACAAAGACACCUGCCACCGACCGUAUGUAGAUAGACGUAUGCGCCAUCCGCCAUCAUCCGCCCUAUGGAGGACGGAUCUUCAGGUGAGAUAAAAGGUUGGUGAUUUAUAUCCGAUUUCUUAAAUAUUCCAUUAAGAGGAUUAUCUCCCAGGAGGCUCAGAUAUAGACAGCGUCAGAAGGGAUUUGGUACGCAGCUGCUUUCUGGGAAGCCUUGGAGAUGAACUACACAUACGUGAAUGGAUCGCUGAACAACCAUUUUCGUCUUUCCCCGCCUUUGUUGAUAUAUUCCUUCUUUAUCUGGUGGAUCUGAGCAUAGAAUACAUUUUAUUCAGUCUUGGAGGAAGAACAGUAGGCUCCAUUCAGGGGUACUGAAGGAUGGCAUGUUCUCCCUGCUUCCUGUGGCAAAGCUCCCCAUGCCCCGUGCAGGCAUCCUUCUCAAACUCCCUUGCUCACCCAGCUUUUGAUGUGGGAGAGUUGAGAGAAAUUUUGGAAAAGCCCUCUCCACCCGGAUCCCAUCCUUUAAAAUCCAAGCAAAUUCACAAAUAUGACUCUCUAGCCGGCCCCUGGCCUCCCGACUUGGGAAGCAAAACCUCAGCAUGAUACUAUGCCCUAUUGUAUCCAUUAUCUUUUAACGGGAGUAUUAUGAGCUGGACAGAAGAGGUAGAAUACUGGGGUUCCUCGUGGGGAAAUGGUGGGCACAAGUGGCAAGUGGCAUCUUUCUGGGACCUUGACAGCUGUGGAUCCCCAGCUGCCAUGAAGUUUGUGGGGAGACUGCAAAACCCCAAACAAAAUAUAUCUUGGUGAUUCCCUUUCUGAUGUUGAAAACAGCAAUAAACCCUUUACAUUGCUUUGGUUUGUACCUCAUGGGAUGCUCUCUCUUGCCUCAGACUCAGUGCAAUAGUGAGCUGGAAACUUACACUCUUUUACCACCCCCCCGCCCUUUUUGGGGGAGGUGGGUGGAACCAAGGAGAGCCAGAGAAUGUCCUAGAAAAGUUCACUGCCUCCAGCCCCCGGAGGUUCCCAAGGUCCUCUACCUUUCCACUGUGUAGUGUCUCGUUGGGUUACGGGGGAAAAAACCAGUCUGGUGUGACGGCUACCCCAGGCGUAGGGGCCUGCUGAGCUCUGACCUGCACUGGGACACCUAGCAUCAGAUUCUCUCUGGGGUAACCCUGGAGGGAGCGCUGUGGGCAGUCCCUCAGGGUGUCCACAUAUACAUUCCCAGGUGCGAUAGUGGCCAUAUGCCCUCUCACUUUUUCUUGCUGCAUGUCAUCUUUAAAAGCUGAUCUUGACCUUUAUAUUUAUUUAUACCCCCCCUGCCGCCAUAAAAGAUAUGAGGUCGCUUACAAUUCAAAUCGUAGAUACAGUAGAACCUGAAGCCAUUAACAGAAAAGUAACAAGAUCAGAGCCAAGUACAAAGGAGGAGGGGAGGAAGAAGCAGAGUUAUUAUACCAGAGGGGGAAGAAAUUUAGAUUAAGGAAAGCUAAUGCAAUUGAGAACAAAACCCAGCUCCUAACUCCCGGGGAGGGAGCGUGGUGGGCGACCGCCAGCUAUUGUAAUAACUGUAGAUUACUGCACCUCAAAGGCAGGUUUUAAAUGCCUGCCAUGCCUGCGGAGGGUUCAUUGCCCUGAGAGCUCAGUCAAGCUCCUUUAGCAAUCCGAAUCUCUGUUUCCUCGUCUGUAAAAAAGCGAGGACUAACUCACUCAUCAUGGGGCUUUUGUGAGAAUACAUUUCAACAAGAGCAGUAGCUUUCACUUAGAUAGCUACUCUUCUAAGUGUUUUUAUUUUCAUUUAAUUUUCUUUAUUUGAGAGAAAGAGAGAGAGAGAGAG